rnacentral:misc_RNA from 1 species
GAUGAAGAACGCAGCAAAAUGCGAUAAGUAAUGUGAAUUGCAGAAUUCAGUGAAUCAUCGAGUCUUUGAACGCACAUUGCGCCCUCUGGUAUUCCGGAGGGCAUGCCUGUCCGAGCGUCAUUGCUGCCCUCAAGCACGGCUUGUGUGUUGGGCCCCGCCCCCCGAUCCCGGGGGGCGGGCCCGAAAGGCAGCGGCGGCACCGCGUCCGGUCCUCGAGCGUAUGGGGCUUUGUCACCCGCUCUGUAGGCCCGGCCGGCGCUUGCCGAUCAACCAAACUUUUUUCCAGGUUGACCUCGGAUCAGGUAGGGAUACCCGCUGAACUUAAGCAUAUCAAUAAGCGGAGGA